GAGUUUGAUCCUGGCUCAGGAUGAACGCUGGCGGCGUGCCUAAUACAUGCAAGUCGAGCGAACGGACGAGAAGCUUGCUUCUCUGAUGUUAGCGGCGGACGGGUGAGUAACACGUGGAUAACCUACCUAUAAGACUGGGAUAACUUCGGGAAACCGGAGCUAAUACCGGAUAAUAUUUUGAACCGCAUGGUUCAAAAGUGAAAGACGGUCUUGCUGUCACUUAUAGAUGGAUCCGCGCUGCAUUAGCUAGUUGGUAAGGUAACGGCUUACCAAGGCAACGAUGCAUAGCCGACCUGAGAGGGUGAUCGGCCACACUGGAACUGAGACACGGUCCAGACUCCUACGGGAGGCAGCAGUAGGGAAUCUUCCGCAAUGGGCGAAAGCCUGACGGAGCAACGCCGCGUGAGUGAUGAAGGUCUUCGGAUCGUAAAACUCUGUUAUUAGGGAAGAACAUAUGUGUAAGUAACUGUGCACAUCUUGACGGUACCUAAUCAGAAAGCCACGGCUAACUACGUGCCAGCAGCCGCGGUAAUACGUAGGUGGCAAGCGUUAUCCGGAAUUAUUGGGCGUAAAGCGCGCGUAGGCGGUUUUUUAAGUCUGAUGUGAAAGCCCACGGCUCAACCGUGGAGGGUCAUUGGAAACUGGAAAACUUGAGUGCAGAAGAGGAAAGUGGAAUUCCAUGUGUAGCGGUGAAAUGCGCAGAGAUAUGGAGGAACACCAGUGGCGAAGGCGACUUUCUGGUCUGUAACUGACGCUGAUGUGCGAAAGCGUGGGGAUCAAACAGGAUUAGAUACCCUGGUAGUCCACGCCGUAAACGAUGAGUGCUAAGUGUUAGGGGGUUUCCGCCCCUUAGUGCUGCAGCUAACGCAUUAAGCACUCCGCCUGGGGAGUACGACCGCAAGGUUGAAACUCAAAGGAAUUGACGGGGACCCGCACAAGCGGUGGAGCAUGUGGUUUAAUUCGAAGCAACGCGAAGAACCUUACCAAAUCUUGACAUCCUUUGACAACUCUAGAGAUAGAGCCUUCCCCUUCGGGGGACAAAGUGACAGGUGGUGCAUGGUUGUCGUCAGCUCGUGUCGUGAGAUGUUGGGUUAAGUCCCGCAACGAGCGCAACCCUUAAGCUUAGUUGCCAUCAUUAAGUUGGGCACUCUAAGUUGACUGCCGGUGACAAACCGGAGGAAGGUGGGGAUGACGUCAAAUCAUCAUGCCCCUUAUGAUUUGGGCUACACACGUGCUACAAUGGACAAUACAAAGGGCAGCGAAACCGCGAGGUCAAGCAAAUCCCAUAAAGUUGUUCUCAGUUCGGAUUGUAGUCUGCAACUCGACUACAUGAAGCUGGAAUCGCUAGUAAUCGUAGAUCAGCAUGCUACGGUGAAUACGUUCCCGGGUCUUGUACACACCGCCCGUCACACCACGAGAGUUUGUAACACCCGAAGCCGGUGGAGUAACCUUUUAGGAGCUAGCCGUCGAAGGUGGGACAAAUGAUUGGGGUGAAGUCGUAACAAGGUAGCCGUAUCGGAAGGUGCGGCUGGAUCACC
rnacentral:rRNA from 16 species